rnacentral:rRNA from 1 species
GACGAACGCUGGCGGCGUGCUUAACACAUGCAAGUCGAACGGAAAGGCCCUGCUUGCAGGGUACUCGAGUGGCGAACGGGUGAGUAACACGUGGGUGAUCUGCCCUGCACUUCGGGAUAAGCCUGGGCAACUGGGUCUAAUACCGGAUAGGAGCCACUUUUUGUGUGUUGGUUGGAAAGUUUUUUCGGUGUAGGAUGAGCUCGCGGCCUAUCAGCUUGUUGGUGGGGUAAUGGCCUACCAAGGCGGCGACGGGUAGCCGGCCUGAGAGGGUGGACGGCCACAUUGGGACUGAGAUACGGCCCAGACGCCUACGGGAGGCAGCAGUGGGGAAUAUUGCACAAUGGGCGCAAGCCUGAUGCAGCGACGCCGCGUGGGGGAUGACGGCCUUCGGGUUGUAAACUCCUUGCGCUAGGGACGAAGCUUUUUGUGACGGUACCUAGAUAAGAAGCACCGGCUAACUACGUG